rnacentral:rRNA from 1 species
GACGAACGCUGGCGGCGUGCUUAACACAUGCAAGUCGAACGGUGAAGUCCCUUCGGGGUGGAUCAGUGGCGAACGGGUGAGUAACACGUGAGCAAUCUGCCCUUGACUCUGGGGAUAACUUCGGGAAACCGGAGCUAAUACCGGAUAUGACACAUGGCCCGCAUGGUUUGUGUGUGGAAAGAUUUAUCGGUCAGGGAUGAGCUCGCGGCCUAUCAGCUUGUUGGNGGGUAAUGGCCUACCAAGGCGACGACGGGUAGCCGGCCUGAGAGGGCGACCGGCCACACUGGGA